AAACGUAGGGGGCGAGCGGUGUCCGGAAUGACUGGGCGUAAAGGGCGUGUAGGCGGCGGAUUAAGUCUGGAGUGAAAGUCCCGUUUUCAAGGGGGGAACUGCUUUGGGUACUGUUGGGCUUGAGUGCAGGAGGGGUUAUCGGAAUUCCCGGUGUAGCGGUGAAAUGCGUAGAGAUCGGGAGAAACACCAGUGGCGAAGGCGGGUAACUGGACUGCAACUGACGCUGAGGCGCGAAAGUGUGGGGAGCAAACAGGAUUAGAUACCCUGGUAGUCCACACUGUAAACGAUGAAUGCUAGGUGUAAGAGGUAUCGACCCCUUUUGUGCCGGAGUCAACACAAUAAGCAUUCCGCCUGGGGAGUACGCCGGCAACGGUGAAACUCAAAUGAAUUGACGGGG
rnacentral:rRNA from 1 species